AACGAACGCUGGCGGCAGGCCUAACACAUGCAAGUCGAGCGAGGACUUCGGUCCUAGCGGCGGACGGGUGAGUAACGCGUGGGAACGUGCCCUUUGCUUCGGAAUAGCCCUGGGAAACUGGGAGUAAUACCGGAUGAGCCCUUUGGGGGAAAGAUUUAUCGGCGAAGGAUCGGCCCGCGUUGGAUUAGGUAGUUGGUGGGGUAAUGGCCUACCAAGCCGACGAUCCAUAGCUGGUUUGAGAGGAUGAUCAGCCACACUGGGACUGAGACACGGCCCAGACUCCUACGGGAGGCAGCAGUGGGGAAUCUUAGACAAUGGGGGAAACCCUGAUCUAGCCAUGCCGCGUGAGCGAUGAAGGCCUUAGGGUUGUAAAGCUCUUUCAGCGGGGAAGAUAAGGACGGUACCAGCAGAAGAAGCCCCGGCGAACUCCGU
rnacentral:rRNA from 1 species